ACGCUGGCGGCAUGCUUUACACAUGCAAGUCGGACGGCAGCACAGAGAAGCUUGCUUCUUGGGUGGCGAGUGGCGAACGGGUGAGUAAUAUAUCGGAACGUACCGAGUAAUGGGGGAUAACUAAUCGAAAGAUUAGCUAAUACCGCAUAUUCUCUGAGGAGGAAAGCAGGGGACCUUCGGGCCUUGCGUUAUUCGAGCGGCCGAUAUCUGAUUAGCUAGUUGGUGGGGUAAAGGCCUACCAAGGCGACGAUCAGUAGCGGGUCUGAGAGGAUGAUCCGCCACACUGGGACUGAGACACGGCCCAGACUCCUACGGGAGGCAGCAGUGGGGAAUUUUGGACAAUGGGCGCAAGCCUGAUCCAGCCAUGCCGCGUGUCUGAAGAAGGCCUUCGGGUUGUAAAGGACUUUUGUCAGGGAAGAAAAGGCUGUCGCUAAUACCGACAGUUGAUGACGGUACCUGAAGAAUAAGCACCGGCUAACUACGUGCCAGCAGCCGCGGUAAUACGUAGGGUGCGAGCGUUAAUCGGAAUUACUGGGCGUAAAGCGAGCGCAGACGGUUACUUAAGCAGGAUGUGAAAUCCCCGGGCUCAACCUGGGAACUGCGUUCUGAACUGGGUGACUAGAGUGUGUCAGAGGGAGGUAGAAUUCCACGUGUAGCAGUGAAAUGCGUAGAGAUGUGGAGGAAUACCGAUGGCGAAGGCAGCCUCCUGGGAUAACACUGACGUUCAUGCUCGAAAGCGUGGGUAGCAAACAGGAUUAGAUACCCUGGUAGUCCACGCCCUAAACGAUGUCAAUUAGCUGUUGGGCAACUUGAUUGCUUAGUAGCGUAGCUAACGCGUGAAAUUGACCGCCUGGGGAGUACGGUCGCAAGAUUAAAACUCAAAGGAAUUGACGGGGACCCGCACAAGCGGUGGAUGAUGUGGAUUAA
rnacentral:rRNA from 1 species